UGGGUCUUCAGUUGCUCUGUUCUUGUUUUUUUCUUCAAUCAUUCAGGUAUUGUUUUCAUCUCUGCCAGAAGGAAAUCAGCUUUGUUGGGACCAGCUACAACAGAGCAGGGAGCAUGCCUAGCUGUAGUCUGCCCAGACAGCAGGGAGUUUCUGGAAGUGAAACAAGCUGGGUGCUUGCUUACUUGAGAAGUGUCUCCAAGAAGUGGUGCUGAGAUGCCUGGGAAAAGGUGCAACAAUUCUGGCAAACUAGAAACAGACAAACAGCAGGAGGUGUUCAGCAAAGAGCAAGUGGAAAAGUGCCUGUAUGUACCCAAAUGCCAUGUGGUUGUUGGUACCUUGAGCAAAUGUGGAGAACAUGGGGAAAAGGCAGGAAGAGGAAGUCUAAAUGGACAUGACUGUCGGCUGCACAUGGCUUUGGAUAGAAACCCCAUGGUCAUGAACCCUUUGACUGUGGCAUAACCUUUUAAAAAUGGAUAUCCUUGUAUCUUAUGACUGAAGUGAGAAUUUUAUAUGGAAUGUCAUUUGGCAUUUAAAAAACCAGGUGUCCAAACUAUUUUUGCCAGCAAUCUGCCAACACUAGCCAAACACAAUUAGUUAAAAAGACAUCUCUAAAACAUAACAUAUGCUACUGAAUACUUUUCAUGUGUGAACAAUUGGGAAAUAAUCCAGAGAUUGACCAAGAGUAAAUUUUGUUCUUGCUGUGUAAGGGGUUAGGACUAACAAAAGACUAAAAAUAGGAAACCAUAGACUAAAAAUGUGCGUCUGGAUAUGCUGCCCAUUAUGUAAUUCUCACCUUGAUACCUCAGCCACUGUCAAACCUCUGAGAGUUAGCCUAUUGUGUAGAUGGAUCAGCAACAUCAAACUUGCAUCUGUGCAUAUCUGGUACCCAGGUGUUUGAGCUUGUUGCUGGCAGUUGGUCAGUGGGCAAUAUGUUCGAGUGAACACAUGCAGAUGUUGUUUGGAAAAGUGGUUCCAUC
rnacentral:lncRNA from 11 species